rnacentral:lncRNA from 1 species
UACAGAGAAUGAGUAUCAUUAUCUCUGACUGAAGAUGAAGAACGGAAACAGUGAUUUGUUUAUGAUGGAGAAGAGAGUCUGCCAUAAAGUCUUACUGGACCCAGGAUGGCCUACACCUUCUCUUCUAGCUUUGCCAUCUCUAAAACUGGCUUUUCUGGGAUAGAGAUCUUUGUUCCUUGGUCUGAAAUCCAAAUACAUGAUGCAGAAAAAGUGAGAAAAGUGAUUUAGGAAUGAGUGGUUCGUGGAGAGGGCUCCUCAUUUUCUGGAUAAAGGCAGUAGCUCUACGACUACACUAGGCUAACUGAAGAGAAAGUUCCUGUAAUUUCAGAGAAAUCUUCAGCUUUUUCUUCUGCACAUCUGGGAUGACACUCUCGUAGUAAAUGGAGAAUAACUGUGCUCCAAACAAGAAUGCUAGGAUUUAGGUAGCAAG